CAUUACACCUCAUUCAACGCCAACCUGCCUUACCAGUUUCCACAUCACGUGACCAGGCUUCUCCCAAGGCUCCUCCGUUCUCUGCAAGUCAGUGUCUCUCCUGCAAGAAGCCUUUCUCUCUCCUCCCUCUCCAGCUCCAUGCCGAGCCGGGAGGGCUGCCUUCCGGCUCUAGAAGCGCAGCUGCCCAGGCUGUGAUCCAUCCCAGGGGAUGAAAUCAGUUUCAUGGAUCAUGACCCAGAUGUUAAAAGUGUGAACAAGAAGAGAAUGGAG